rnacentral:tRNA from 1 species
GCGAUGGUUGCCGAGAUUGGAAAAGGCGCGAGAAUUCCGAUCUCGUCCCGAAGGGGUUCGAGGGUUCAAAUCCCUCCCCUCGCACCA